UACGGAGGGGGCUAGCGUUGUUCGGAAUUACUGGGCGUAAAGCGCUCGUAGGCGGAUUGGUCAGUCAGAGGUGAAAGCCCAGGGCUCAACCUGGAACUGCCUUUGAUACUGCCAGUCUAGAGUUCGGGAGAGGUGAGCGGAAUUCCGAGUGUAGAGGUGAAAUUCGUAGAUAUUCGGAGGAACACCAGUGGCGAAGGCGGCUUACUGGCUCGAUACUGACGCUGAGGUGCGAAAGUGUGGGGAGCAAACAGGAUUAGAUACCCGCGUAGUCC
rnacentral:rRNA from 1 species